UACGUAGGGGGCAAGCGUUGUCCGGAUUUAUUGGGCGUAAAGCGCUCGCAGGUGGUCCGUCGCGUCGUGCGUGAAAGACCCCGGCUCAACCGGGGGGUGUCGUGCGAUACGGGCGGACUGGAGGCCAGUAGGGGGAUGCGGAAUUCCGGGUGUAGUGGUGGAAUGCGUAGAGAUCCGGAGGAACACCAGCGGCGAAGGCGGCGUCCUGGCUCGCAUCUGACGCUCAGACACGACAGCAUGGGGAGCGAACGGG
rnacentral:rRNA from 1 species